rnacentral:rRNA from 1 species
GACGAACGCUGGCGGCGUGCUUAACACAUGCAAGUCGAACGGAAAGGCCCUGCUUUUGUGUGGUGCUCGAGUGGCGAACGGGUGAGUAACACGUGAGUAACCUGCCCUGUACUUUGGGAUAACUUCAGGAAACUGGGGCUAAUACCGGCUAGGAGCGCCUGCUGCAUGGGGGGGGUUGGAAAGUUUCGGCGGUUGGGGAUGGACUCGCGGCUUAUCAGCUUGUUGGUGGGGUAGUGGCUUACCAAGGCUUUGACGGGUAGCCGGCCUGAGAGGGUGACCGGCCACAUUGGGACUGAGAUACGGCCCAGACUCCUACGGGAGGCAGCAGUGGAGAAUAUUGCACAAUGGGCGGAAGCCUGAUGCAGAAACGCCGCGAGCGGGAUGACGGCCUUCGUGUUGUAAACCGCUUUAGCCUGUGACCAAGCGUGAGUGACGGUAAUAGGUAAAGAAGCACCGGCUAACUACGUG